rnacentral:tRNA from 2 species
GCCCCUAUAGCUCAGUCGGUUAGAGCAGUGGACUCAUAAUCCAUCGGUCGCGGGUUCAAGUCCUGCUGGGGGCA